UGGCUCAGUUGGUAGAGCAUGGUGUUUGCAAUGCCAGGGUUGUGGGUUUGUUUCCCAC
rfam:Salmo salar isolate Sally breed double haploid chromosome ssa07, whole genome shotgun sequence.